CAAACUAUGGAUACAAUUCUUGAUACUCGAUUUUUGUUUUCUGCUUUUGAGCCAUAAAUUAAAAAGCUCCGUGCUUAGAUUCACGACAGUGCAUUUGUUAGGAGAAUUUGUUUAGAACAGAAAGCAACAUUACCCAAAAUCGCUCCUCGCAAUUAGGCUGCUGAAAGCUUGAAGUUGACAGGAGGCCAUAAUUUCGCAUUUCACCUAUCGGUUGUUCUUAGACUUUAUCUCUAGUUCAGUUCCUAUUAGAAUAUUAUAAAUUGUAUAUAAUAAACUCGUGCCUCUAUUAAAAACUAGGAGACCCAAUUUGGGGCUGCAAGUAACUUUAAAAGAAAAGAUUGUAUGAUAAUCAAACAACCAAAUAUUAAGGAAAAUAUUUCCACACAAUAAAAAAAAUAUCAUGGAAAAUAAUCCUUAUAAACUCAAUAGGUGUCGUAGAAACCAGAUUGAGUUUGAAAAUUAAAUUGAUCCAGAUGCUUCAAAAUUGCUUGCAUUCUAACCAAGCCAAACAAAGAACUUGAAGCUGAUAUGAAAGAAAAAUCACCAUCCACCAAUCUAACCAAACCAUCACACGACUUCAAGGAUACACCUACAAAUAUAAAGAAUAAGGCCAAAACAAGAACCUCAAACAGUUGUAAUAACCAGACUUGUCAAGGAUAUACCAAAUUUAAUAGUAGCACUCCAAAAAUUGACUCUACCAAAAAUGAAGGAGACAAAGAAUUAUCAAAUGGGAACAUUAAUACACAAGGAUGCUAAGACAACAAAUGGACGAAAAUAAAUUUGAUGAAAAAAUAACAUGAUUUUCUUUAAAAUAAUUCUAGCAUCCACAGAUCUAACAAAAUUUCAGAACUCAUUGUCCGAUUCCUUGGAAACCGACGCUUACUAAGAAGGAAGCAACAAGAACGGCCAACAUCCAACAGUUAAGAAUAAAAGAAAACUUAGUUGGACGAACAUAACUAAAAUAACCAAAACAUUU
rnacentral:lncRNA from 1 species